UAGGUGACUGCCAAUGGAUAACCUAAACGG
rnacentral:piRNA from 1 species